GGGGGGAGAGAGGCAGUCCAGCCGCAGGGGCCACCCGAACAGUCUCUCCUCCUCACAGAAGCCUGGAGCUGGGCAUCCAAGAAGAAGCAGCCUCAUUUGUUUUCUGGUGUCAUCGUAGGUGGCCACCUAUGGCUUUUGGGGGAUCUUUGCUUUGCCUCUUCCUCCAGCUAAUCAGGCUUCACCCCUGCACCUUUUCUGACCUGCUUUCUUCUAGCUUCUCACCUGGGGCGGGUGGGUUCUGCACCACCCUCCCACCCUCCUUCCUCCGUGUGGACGAUAGAGCCACAUCCAGCACCACGGACAGCUCCCGGGCGACCAAAAAGAAGAAUGUACUUCAUCUGGUUGGGCUGGAUUCCCUCUGAUAAGCCUUCCCAGUUGACUGAAAGAUGAGGCUAGGCUCUAGCAAGUUGAAGUCAAACCAGCUCCUUCAAGAAGCUUUGAGCAGAAUGAAGUGGGGAGGACCCAGCUUCCAGCCCAGGAAGCCCACUGUACCUGGAGCCAUCUGGGAUAAGACUUUGACCCAUGACUCCCAUAUCCACAGCCUGUCCAUCCUAGCCCAUCCCAGUUUAUCCUGUAUCAUUUGAGCUGGGAUUCCCACAUCCUCUGAGUUGGAAGUCCCAUCUCAAGUCUUCAAUAAAGACUCUUGAAUAUUGAAUCACAUUAA
rnacentral:lncRNA from 1 species